AUGAAAAGUUUCGAUAACAAUCAUUUAAGUUAAUAUAUUUGCACUUUGAGCUAUUGUGAUUACACUAUGCCCGGUGUCGUGCGAUUUGCGGAGUGAGUCGUCAACUUGUUAUUACUCUAGACUCCACAUUUUGUCAUCCAAUCAUGAUAACACAUGGUAAACGUAAUUAUAUGGACACUAUCUAGGUCGAUUGUGAGUCUUGGUGCUAAAACAACCAUGACACCAGGUAAAAUCUUACAAAAACAUUGUUACCACUCUCUCGAAAUGUUAACGUUGACAUUUUAUAGGCUGAGCUCGAAUCUGGGUCACGUUCAUUCAUAGCAAUGUUACCAAUUCAUACUGCGUUACCACUCUAGAGGGACCAUUAAUUGCCAAAUCUCUAUCAAACUUUGUGUUUGAUUUUAUAAUAUCUAGAUCUAGUCUAAUAUGAGUCUUAAGCGUCUAAGACCAUGUCACCAGAUCAAAUCUUUGAAAAAUCUCGUUACCACUCUAAAGGCCAUAUUUAUAAUUUAAUUUGAUUAAACUUUGUCAGGAGGUUAUUCUUGACAAUAUCUAAGCCAAUUAAGAAUUUGAUCAUGUGAUUCUUGAAACCAUGUUAUACCAUUUAAAAAGUCUAGGGGCAACAGUGAUGACUCAAGCUUAAUGAAAUUUGGUCAGACAUAUAUCCUGACAAUAUCUAGGUCAAAUCUGGUUCAUGUAAAUUAAAAAUUAGGCAAUCUGGUGAAUCCUAAAGAAACAUAUAUUUAUUACUUAGUCUUGAUAACAUUUGGUGAGGAUGUUUAUUUUGACAAUAUGUUUCAAUCAAGUUUGUUCAAGUGGUUCAAAAACUCAAAAACAAAUCACCAGUUCUAGUCUUCAAUAAUUGGUGCCCAUGAACUCAGAUGCGCCAUUAAAGAUUAUCAUGGUCCACUUGUUCCCUAUAUCGUCAACACAGUUUUAUGCGUUAACCUUUUUGUACCAAGUAAUACACUUGUUUUCUUUAAGAACUAAAAGUAAGUCACUGCGCUGUUCACGACAAAUUUCAUAGUAAUCUUAAUUAGUGUGACUUACUAUAUACUUGAAUACAAAACGGUUUUCUUUAAUCACUUUUUUUCACAUUUAUUAAUGCAGAUCAGACUGAUCCGUGAUUAUUUUCUUGUAUUUUUAUGUUGCAGAUCCAAGUAUUCGUAAGUGUUCAUUGUCUUUAUUCUUAUCUACUCUGGUCGAUGUAAAACUUGAUUUUAUUACAAUAUUAAUUUAAACUGUCGAGAAACACUUGACUUAGUUUUACCCCCCCCCCCCCCGCCAUAGGCGGAGGGAUAUUGCUUUGGCGUUGUCCGUCCGUCCGUCUGUCCGUCCGUCCGGAGCCAUAUCUAUGAAGUCCUUUGGCGGAUUUUAUUGAAACUUGGUAUGAGUAUAUAUAUGGAUAAGAGGCUGAUGCACGUCAAAUGUCAUUGUACACCAUCUGUUAAUAACGGAGUUAUGGCUCUUUGUAUCUUGAAACAAUGCUUUUUUGAGUGUCAAAUAUACACUUUUGUGUCCAUAAGCAUAUUGGCGGCUGAUAUCAAUUUAACGAAUUUGCUUGUUUUUUUAAUAACAAACGCUGAUUUUAAUGUUUUCUCUCAAUACUUUGUAUUGACAUCCAACAACAAGAAAUGAAAACAAUAAAAAUAUGUGUCAUAUAUACUUGAAAUAAGAUUGAUUUGUUUACCUUUUCAUAUUCCCUUUGCUGGAUGUUUCGCUGAUUGGCUGGUCGAACGGUAACAGGGUGUAAGUUAAUCAUAUAUGUUGUUAAUAAAUGGUCUGGAUUGUUUGUGAAGUUUCGAAAAAUAUUAAAUGGUUUCAAUAGUUAUAUUUACCACUUUUUUACUCUACCAAUUUCUCUUAUCAUAUGGUUCAGAUUGCACUAGUAUUUGAAGUAAAAGUUGCUUCCCUUUGUUCAUGGCAUUAUGUUUUUUAUUUCAUGCAUAUCACCGUUUCGUCGUGGAUUUCUUACAACAGGGUACGUGUUUUGCCUGUGGCCGCCUCGAUUAUCAGCCCGGAUGUGCGACCGGUCCACACAGGGCGUAAGCUGAUCACAUAUAGCCCACGCCCGUCUUUAAUCGAUGUCGAUCGAGAAAGAGCCAGCACUGCACAAUUAUUAUCGCUGAUCAUGUGAAAUGAUGACAUUAAAAAAGACAAGGUCUCUUUAAAUUAUUCGCUUUCAACUUAACGAAAUUAAAGUGAGCUCUUUACCAGACACAAUGUUAUUUGUAAUAGUGUUGUAAUGUAAUUAGUACUAGUGUUGUACAAAAGUGAAUAAAAAAGACCAUAUCAAUCUGUGAAAGAAGACAUG